rnacentral:rRNA from 1 species
AUUGAACGCUGGCGGCAGGCCUAACACAUGCAAGUUGAGCGGCAGCGGGAAAGUAGCUUGCUACUUUUGCCGGCGAGCGGCGGACGGGUGAGUAAUGCCUGGGGAUCUGCCCAGUCGAGGGGGAUAACUACUGGAAACGGUAGCUAAUACCGCAUACGCCCUACGGGGGAAAGCAGGGGACCUUCGGGCCUUGCGCGAUUGGAUGAACCUGGGUGGGAUUAGCUAGUUGGUGAGGUAAUGGCUCACCAAGGCGACGAUCCCUAGCUGGUCUGAGAGGAUGAUCAGCCACACUGGAACUGAGACACGGUCCAGACUCCUACGGGAGGCAGCAGUGGGGAAUAUUGCACAAUGGGGGAAACCCUGAUGCAGCCAUGCCGCGUGUGUGAAGAAGGCCUUCGGGUUGUAAAGCACUUUCAGCGAGGAGGAAAGGUUGGUAGCUAAUAACUGCCAGCUGUGACGUUACUCGCAGAAGAAGCACCGGCUAACUCCGUGCCAGCAGCCGCCGUAACAC